AACCUGGUUGAUCCUGCCAGUAGUCAUAUGCUUGUCUCAAAGACUAAGCCAUGCAUGUCUAAGUAUAAACGCUUCUAUACUGUGAAACUGCGAAUGGCUCAUUAAAUCAGUUAUAGUUUAUUUGAUGGUUUCUUACUACUUGGAUAACCGUGGUAAUUCUAGAGCUAAUACAUGCACAAAGUCCCGACUCUUCGGAAGGGAUGUAUUUAUUAGAUCCAAAACCAAUGCGAGUCUCUCGGGGCUCGGUUCCUUGGUGAUUCAUGAUAACUGCUCGAACCGUAUGGCCCUUGCGCCGACGGUGCUUCAUUCAAAUUUCUGCCCUAUCAACUUUCGAUGGUACGGUAGUGGCCUACCAUGGUUGCAACGGGUGACGGAGAAUUAGGGUUCGAUUCCGGAGAGGGAGCCUGAGAAACGGCUACCACAUCCAAGGAAGGCAGCAGGCGCGCAAAUUACCCAAUCCCGACUCGGGGAGGUAGUGACAAUAAAUAACAAUGCCGGGCUAUUGUAGUCUGGCAAUUGGAAUGAGUACAAUCUAAAUCCCUUAACGAGGAACAAUUGGAGGGCAAGUCUGGUGCCAGCAGCCGCGGUAAUUCCAGCUCCAAUAGCGUAUAUUAAAGUUGUUGCAGUUAAAAAGCUCGUAGUUGGAUUUCGGGGUGGCCUGCCUGGUCCACCGCAAGGUGAGUACUGGUCAGCCGCCCUUCCUCUCGAAAGCCCCGACUGCUCUUUACUGCAGUGGUCGGGUAGUUCGGGACGUUUACUUUGAAAAAAUUAGAGUGUUCAAGGCAGGCUAUCGCCUGAAUACAUUAGCAUGGAAUAAUGGAAGAGGACCUCGGUCCUAUUUUGUUGGUUUCUACGGCCGAAGUAAUGAUUAAGAGGGACAGUUGGGGGGCAUUCGUAUUUAAUUGUCAGAGGUGAAAUUCUUGGAUUUAUGAAAGACGAACUAGUGCGAAAGCAUUUGCCAAAGGAUGUUUUUCAUUAAUCAAGAACGAAA
rnacentral:rRNA from 1 species